GAUGAACGCUGGCGGCGCGCCUAAUACAUGCAAGUCGAGCGAACGGACGAGAAGCUUGCUUCUCUGAUGUUAGCGGCGGACGGGUGAGUAACACGUGGAUAACCUACCUAUAAGACUUGGAUAACUUCGGGAAACCGGAGCUAAUACCGGAUAAUAUUUUGAACCGCAUGGUUCAAAAGUGAAAGACGGUCUUGCUGUCACUUAUAGGUGGAUCCGCGCUGCAUUAGCUAGUUGGUAAGGUAACGGCUUACCAAGGCAACGAUGCAUAGCCGACCUGAGAGGGUGAUCGGCCACACUGGAACUGAGACACGGUCCAGACUCCUACGGGAGGCAGCAGUAGGGAAUCUUCCGCAAUGGGCGAAAGCCUGACGGAGCAACGCCGAGUGAGUGAUGAAGGUCUUCGGAUCGUAAAACUCUGUUAUUAGGGAAGAACAUAUGUGUAAGUAACUGUGCACAUCUUGACGGUACCUAAUCAGAAAGCCACGGCUAACUACGUG
rnacentral:rRNA from 1 species